rnacentral:lncRNA from 1 species
UAGUCUGAUUACUUUAGAGCCGCCAGAUUGUGUAUUUCAACAACUUUUUCAUGAACCACAGAAACUUCAUUACUGAAUUGUAGGACCAGACAUUGUGAGAAAGUUUGAUUGCAUUUAAGAACUGCCAGAGCUACAGCUAGAAAAGAAACUUUAAACAAUUUCUUUUCAUGAUCUGCUUAAUUGAUCUCCACAUUGAAUUGUCAACCUGUAUGCUUCAUUGUAUAAUGACGUUGAACAAAUAAAGAUACUGCAGUCAGUGUUACAACCUUCAUUAAACAAAAUGAAUUGAUGUUACAGAAAUGGAUAACAUAUAGAGACAAACACUUUCAGGCUACAGAAACUACACAUUGUUUGAGACUACGAGAAUGUUUUACUUGCAUGAUGGAACUCAUACCACAAAGAAAGAACUUGCUUU